CAAUUGCAGAGGUUCCAAAGUAAAUGGCAAACACGUGUUAUAUUGGAGUCAACAUUCUUCUUUCUUCAUCUUUCUCAUUCUUCCUCUCUUCCUUUCCGAAUUCUCACAUCUCUCUCAAAUAAAAUUAUGUAGAAAAUUUCAAAUAAAUAAACCCAACAACUAUUGGAUGCUCCAAAGCUUUAAGAUUGUUGCACCAGUUCCUCAUGUAAAACACAUUCAAUCUCUCACACAUCAAAUGGCGGUUCAAGCCACAACUGCACUAUCCAUAUUUGCUCUAGAGAUAACAAUGAUGAUCAACCAGAGGUACAAGGCUCGGGGUUUUGGGUUUCAGUUAAAAGAGGUGCAACUAUUAGUCCAAUCGGUAACAUAUCGCUUUUACAUUUAUUUUAGGUUUUCGGUUGUAAUUCAGUAAUCAGUAAUUAGUAAUUCAGUUGCUUGAUCUUCCCUUCUGUUUGCAAGCAUAAAUGCAUUUGCCUUCACUAUAUAUUUUUGAUAAAUAAGAUUGCAUUUAAUAUUGCAUUGAUACUCUUAUUAUUAUUUAUGAAUUUUCAAGCGAGUCCUUGUGAAUCUUCUUUGUAGGUCUUCCUUUUUGGAAGUAUAGCCCACCCAUGAAAUCAAACUACCUCAAGUAUUACCUUAACUACUUCAAAAGUGUUCGUUUUACUACUUUAAACGUUUCAAAAUGAAUUUGGCAGAGUACAGUAAUGUGGUUGCAUUUAGGUUUUAUUUAUCUGAAAACACUUAAGAUAUUAACCAGCUGGUAUGUGUUAAGAAAUUGUAUCAGCAUUUUGCUGCUGAAAUUGUUCACAGAACACACUUACACAAGAGGGAAAGGAAAUGGGUUAUGUGCUCUACACAUAUAGAAGUUGAGUUAAAGCACUUCGUCAGGUUAGUAAGGAAUUUCAACUUCCAACAGAAAAUAUUUUGAUCUCUUAAUGAGAUAAGGUUUUACAUUAUCAUUAUCUUUUACUUUGCGUCUAUGAAUUUUAUUUUUGUUUGUGCUGGUGAAAAUGAUUAUAACUGGAAAAGAGUGGGUCAGAUUCUGCAUUUCUUUACUCAGAUUUUCCAUAUUGAUAGAUGGUGAUCCUUAAGGUUUCGUCAAGUCUAGCUGGGUGAUCAUUUAUCCUUUUUCUCUUCGUCUUCGUGACGGAAAUCCAAACUUAACAUUCAAAAUAGUAAAGAGUUUGGGAUAGUUUAAGGGCCCAUGCAUUAGCAAGAAUGGAGAGGAAGAAAUGGUACUUAUGCUUCCUAUAUGCAUAUGAUACAUUACUUUUUUGUGAGGCAGAAAGAGACAAACUAUUGCAUUUAAGAGGGGUUUUAUUUAGUUCUCAAGCAUUUUCUAGGCUGAAAAUCGAUCUAAAAGCAGUAUAUUUAGCAUUAAUGCAGAAUUUUUAUGUUGUGAGGAACUAGCUGGUAUUUUUUGAGUGUGAAAUGAAUAAGUUUCCUACAGUAUAUUUUUCAGUAGGGAUGAAGAAGAAAGACAUACACGAGUAACUGAUAGUUGUACAAAUAAGUUUGUUUCAGAUUUAUUUUUAGAUGUACAGACAAUCCUCAACUUUAAUUAAUUCCUCAUCUUCAAGCUUUGAUUUUCGAGUAGCGAAUGAAGUCGGAGAAGGAAGACAAGGGAAGGAGGAGUGCUCAAUAUUUAGGUUAGUCGUUUGGAUGCAGUACACAUGUUCUAAUCAUAAAAAAAAGUCUCAUAAACAUGUAGUCCACAGGAGAGGAUAUAAUCUAUAUGGUGUUUGAGGUUAGCUUACAUUACAGAUGUUGCACCAGUUCCUAUAUGUUGACACAUUCAGAAAGAGCGGACAAUGAGACUAAAGGUUAAUGACAUUAGAAAAGAAUCCAUGAGAAAUGCAAUAUUAAAGGCUUUCUGAAGAAACCUCAAAAUACAUCCUUGCUAUGUGGUUUAUGGAAGACCCAAGGAUGGCUACCAAGCCAUGGAGUGUAACUCUAGCUCAUUGAAUCAAUGAAUCAGGAGGACAUGUUUGAACAUACAUACACUUCAUAUGCCUAAUAGUAUUUUUGAUAACGUGCUUGUAUAUUUUACACGUAGUAGAGAUAAAUCACAUUAAGCACAAUUAUGUAUACAAAAGAUAUUUUUAACAUGUUAACAACAGCUUUCUGGUAAUGUUGUAUGUGAAUGAAUUUAGAAUGCUCAAUUGCAUGCGGAUCAA